CCGGCCCCCAGGAGGGUACGUCACCUCAGCCAUUGAACUCACUUUGCUGGCCGUGAGUCUAUUCCAA